CCUACGGGUGGCAGCAGUGAGGAAUAUUGGUCAAUGGGCGCGAGCCUGAACCAGCCACGUAGCGUGAAGGAUGACUGCCCUACGGGUUGUAAACUUCUUUUAUAAAGGAAUAAAGUGAGGCACGUGUGCCUCUUUGUAUGUACCUUAUGAAUAAGGAUCGGCUAACUCCGUGCCAGCAGCCGCGGUCAUACGGAGGAUCCGAGCGUUAUCCGGAUUUAUUGGGUUUAAAGGGAGCGUAGAUGGGUUGUUAAGUCAGUUGUGAAAGUUUGCGGCUCAACCGUAAAAUUGCAAUUGAUACUGGCAUCCUUGAGUACAGUUGAGGUAGGCGGAAUUCGUGGUGUAGCGGUGAAAUGCUUAGAUAUCACGAAGAACUCCGAUUGCGAAGGCAGCUUACUAGACUGCCACUGACAUUGAUGCUCGAAAGUGUGGGUAUCAAACAGGAUGAGAUACCCUAGUAGUC
rnacentral:rRNA from 1 species